ensembl:lncRNA
CGCGAGCUAUGACAGCGAUAUAAACCCCUCAGACUUCAUUCAAAAUGUGGGUGUUUGAUGGAGAGUUGCGGUUAGUGAGAGUUUGGAGACAGUUUGGAGGUUUAUGAGAGUGAGGAGAGAAAGUCAGGAGAGAAUGGAGCCAGCUAAGAAGAGGAGGAUGUCCUCCCCUGUGUGGGAACAUUUUGAUCUUAUUCCUCCCAACAAGGUGAAGUGUUUGCUAUGUGCCAGGGAGCUGGGAUAUAACAACAACACCUCAUCCAUGCUUAGGCACUACAGAGCUUUGCAUGAGAAUAAGGGGAACACCGAUUGUGGAGCAAGACCAGGAGAACAAUCUCAAAUAGAUGAAGACCUGGUUAGCAUGGUGAUUGAGGACUCACAGCCAUUUAGCAUUGUGGAGGACAAAGGAUUUAAAAGAUUUGUUAAAUCAUUAAAUCCUAGCUAUGUUCUCCCCAC